AUUGAACGCUGGCGGCAGGCUUAACACAUGCAAGUCGAGCGGUAACAGAGAGAAGCUUGCUUCUCUGCUGACGAGCGGCGGACGGGUGAGUAAUGCCUAGGAAUCUGCCUAGUAGUGGGGGAUAACUUGCCGAAAGGUAAGCUAAUACCGCAUACGUCCUACGGGAGAAAGGAGGGGACCUUCGGGCCUUUCGCUAUUAGAUGAGCCUAGGUCGGAUUAGUUAGUUGGUGAGGUAAUGGCUCACCAAGACCGCGGUCCGUAACUGGUCUGAGAGGAUGAUCAGUCACACUGGAACUGAGACACGGUCCAGACUCCUACGGGAGGCAGCAGUGGGGAAUGUUGGACAAUGGGGGGAACCCUGAUCCAGCCGUGCCGCGUGUGUGAAGAAGGUCUUAGGAUUGUAAAGCACUUUAAGUUGGGAGGAAGAGCAGUUAACUAAUAUUUGACUGUUUUGACGUUACCGACAGAAUAAGCACCGGCUAACUUCGUGCCAGCAGCCGCGGUAA
rnacentral:rRNA from 1 species